rnacentral:lncRNA from 1 species
AUGUUGGUCCUGAGUUUUUCUUAGCCUGAACUGAAAAUCAUCUCCAAAGCAGUUCUCCUCUCUGGGGCCAAGCAGAACAAGACUUCCAUCUUCUUCAUGGAAGCCCAUCAGAUAUGUGAAGACGGCUACCAUGUUGGAGAAGGGGCAACCAGAUAUAGAAUACUGUGUCUGAAAUCAAGAAGACCUGAAUUCAAAUCCAGCCGCAGACACUUACUAGCUGGGUGAUCCUAGGCAAG